CCUACGGGGGGCAGCAGUGGGGGAUAUUGGACAAUGGGGGGAACCCUGAUCCAGCGACGCCGCGUGAGUGAAGAAGUAUCUCGGUAUGUAAAGCUCUAUCAGCAGGGAAGAAGAAAUGACGGUACCUGAGUAAGAAGCCCCGGCUAACUACGUGCCAGCAGCCGCGGUAAUACGUAGGGGGCAAGCGUUAUCCGGAAUUACUGGGGGUAAAGGGAGCGUAGGCGGUCCGUUAAGUCAGCGGUAAAAUUGCGGGGCUAAACCCCGUCGAGCCGUUGAAACUGGCAGACUUGAGUUGGCGAGAAGUACGCGGAAGGCGCGGUGUAGCGGUGAAAUGCAUAGAUAUCGCGCAGAACUCCGAUUGCGAAGGCAGCGUACCGGCGCCAGACUGACGCUGAGGCACGAAAGCGUGGGGAUCGAACAGGAUUAGAUACCCGUGUAGUC
rnacentral:rRNA from 1 species